UAGUGACAGAGAGAGGGAGGGGGUGACUAGUGACAGUGAGGGAGGGAAGGGGUGACUAUGACAGAGUGAGGGAGGUGGUGAUUAGUGACAGUCACCACCUCCUUCACUCUGUCACUAGUCACCCCCUCCCUCACUCUGUCACU